CAAAAACAAAAGAUGAGUUGUGGUCAUUGUGUCACAGCUUCUCUUCGAUCUGAUAUUUGAAAUAAGAGGAAAUCUGUCAAAACAUGUUGGAGAACCUGUGAUCAACAACAACACGUGAUCAUCAACAACAGGUGAUCAACAACAACAGGCGAUCAACAACAACAGGUGAUCAUCAUCAGGUGAUCAUCAACAGGUGAUCAGCUCCAAACUUUUUCAGAGUAUUCAUAUUUUUACUAUGAUCAAACAUUGAACCAAUCAGUAUCACUUGAUUAUAGUGUUUGAGCUUUACACCCAGAGAGUGAUGUCAGAGGAAAACAG